AUGAUUGAGUUACAAUUAACAACCAGAUGGACCGCGUUGUUAAGCCCUGGACCAUGGGCCUGGUUGCCUGGUCCAAGGCCGGCCCUGCCUUUACUCCAACAACUCGACCUCGAUCUCUCUGACCCCAAUGCAAACAUCAAUGGUUACUACUACGGUAAUAGUAGCUUCCUCCAUGGAAUUGAGGCUCUUUCAUUGUCACUUUUCAAUCUCCGCAAGAUUAAUCUCUCUAGCCAUUACUAUAUCGAUGCCUUAUUGUCGUCGAAUAACAAAAACAGGAGUUUCUUCUGCUCUCAACGAGAAACAAUCAACAUUGAGGUAUUUAUCUCUUCCCAUCUUACUUACUGCACAAGUCAUUGA